rnacentral:rRNA from 1 species
GUGGGGAAUAUUGGACAAUGGGCGAAAGCCUGAUCCAGCAAUGCCGCGUGAGUGAUGAAGGCCUUAGGGUUGUAAAGCUCUUUUACCCGGGAUUAUAAUGACAGUACCGGGAGAAUAAGCUCCGGCUAACUCCGUGCCAGCAGCCGCGGUAAUACGGAGGGAGCUAGCGUUGUUCGGAAUUACUGGGCGUAAAGCGCACGUAGGCGGCUUUGUAAGUUAGAGGUGAAAGCCUGGAGCUUAACUCCAGAACUGCCUUUAAGACUGCAUCGCUUGAAUCCAGGAGAGGUGAGUGGAAUUCCGAGUGUAGAGGUGAAAUUCGUAGAUAUUCGGAAGAACACCAGUGGCGAAGGCGACUCACUGGACUGGUAUUGACGCUGAGGUGCGAAAGCGUGGGGAGCAAACAGGAUUAGAAACCCGAGUAGUCC